rnacentral:lncRNA from 1 species
AAGAAGCGCCUGGAAGCCCAAGAUAAACCGGCAAGGCUUCCCCCUACCCAGAGACUUGGCCCUCUCAGGCUGUCACAUACGUCUUUGUUCCGGAUCUGCUCCUCUGACAGCUGUACUUCGAGCUCAGCCUGCUUGAGAGGCAGGAAUCCUGGCGGGAAAGACCAGGGUGAGUGGACCCAGGGAGAGACCCUGCAGCUGAAGCAAA